UACAGAGGUGGCAAGCGUUGUUCGGAAUUACUGGGCGUAAAGGGCGCGUAGGCGGCCUUCUAAGUCAGACGUGAAAUCCCCCGGCUCAACCCAGGAACUGCGUCCGAUACUGGAAGGCUUGAAUCCGGGAGAGGGAUGCGGAAUUCCAGGUGUAGCGGUGAAAUGCGUAGAUAUCUGGAGGAACACCGGUGGCGAAGGCGGCAUCCUGGACCGGCAUUGACGCUGAGGCGCGAAAGCCAGGGGAGCAAACGGG
rnacentral:rRNA from 1 species